GGGUGAGUAACACGUGAGUAACCUGCCCUUGACUCUGGGAUAAGCCUGGGAAACUGGGUCUAAUACCGGAUAUGACUCCUCAUCGCAUGGUGGGGGGUGGAAAGCUUUUGUGGUUUUGGAUGGACUCGCGGCCUAUCAGCUUGUUGGUGAGGUAAUGGCUCACCAAGGCGACGACGGGUAGCCGGCCUGAGAGGGUGACCGGCCACACUGGGACUGAGACACGGCCCAGACUCCUACGGGAGGCAGCAGUGGGGAAUAUUGCACAAUGGGCGAAAGCCUGAUGCAGCGACGCCGCGUGAGGGAUGACGGCCUUCGGGUUGUAAACCUCUUUCAGUAGGGAAGAAGCGAAAGUGACGGUACCUGCAGAAGAAGCGCCGGCUA
rnacentral:rRNA from 1 species